CAGCAGCCGCGGUAAGACAGAGGAUGCAAGCGUUAUCCGGAAUGAUUGGGUGUAAAGGGUGUGCAGACGGCUUAUUAAGUCACUUGUUAAAUUCUUCGGCCUAACUGAAGGUCUGCAAGUGAUACUGAUGAGCUAGAGGGUGGAAGAGAGAAGUGGAAUUCUCGGAGUAGCGGUAAAAUGCGUAGAUCUCGAGAGGAACACCAAUGGCGAAGGCAGCUUCUUGGUCCAUUCUGACGUUCAUACACGAAAGCGUGGGGAGCAAACAGGAUUAGAUACCCCAGUAGUCCCUGUCUCUUAUACC
rnacentral:rRNA from 1 species